rnacentral:rRNA from 1 species
AAGACCUUUGCGCUUUUGGAGCGGCCGAUGCCUGAUUAGCUUGUUGGUAAGGUAAAAGCUUACCAAGGCUUCGAUCAGUAGCUGGUCUGAGAGGACGACCAGCCACACUGGGACUGAGACACGGCCCAGACUCCUACGGGAGGCAGCAGUGGGGAAUUUUGGACAAUGGGGGCAACCCUGAUCCAGCCAUGCCGCGUGAGUGAAGAAGGCCUUCGGGUUGUAAAGCUCUUUCAGCCGGAACGAAACGGUUACGGAUAACACCCGUGACUACUGACGGUACCGGAAGAAGAAGCACCGGCUAACUACGUGCCAGCAGCCGCGGUAAUACGUAGGGUGCGAGCGUUAAUCGGAAUUACUGGGCGUAAAGCGUGCGCAGGUGGUUUUGUAAGUCAGAUGUGAAAGCCCCGGGCUCAACCUGGGAACU